AGCUCUUCGAGUGGUGUGGAUGUUUAUUGGGCCUAAAGCAUCCGUAGCUGGCUAAGUUAGUCCCUUGUUAAAUCCACCGAAUUAAUCGUUGGAUUGCGGGGGAUACUGCUUGGCUAGGGGACGAGAGAGGCAGACGGUAUUUUCGGGGUAGGGGUGAAAUCCUAUAAUCCCGGGAAGACCACCAGUGGCGAAGGCUGUCUGCUAGAACGCGCCCGACGGUGAGGGAUGAAAGCUGGGGGAGCGAACC
rnacentral:rRNA from 1 species